rnacentral:rRNA from 1 species
GAUGAACGCUGGCGGCGUGCCUAAUACAUGCAAGUAGAACGCUGAAGGAGGAGCUUGCUCUUCUGGAUGAGUUGCGAACGGGUGAGUAACGCGUAGGUAACCUGCCUGGUAGCGGGGGAUAACUAUUGGAAACUAUAGCUAAUACCGCAUGACAACAGUUAUUGCAUGAUAACUGUUUAAAAGGGGCAACUGCUCCACUACCAGAUGGACCUGCGUUGUAUUAGCUAGUUGGUGAGGUAACGGCUCACCAAGGCGACGAUACAUAGCCGACCUGAGAGGGGGAUCGGCCACACUGGGAGUGAGACACGGCCCAGACGCCUACGGGAGGCAGCAGUAGGGAAUCGGCGGCAAUGGACGGAAGUCUGACCGAGAGAGGCGGCGUGAGUGAAGAAGGUUUUCGGAUCGUAAAGCUCUGUUGUAAGAGAAGAACGAGUGUGAGAGUGGAAAGUUCACACUGUGACGGUAUCUUACCAGAAAGCGACGGCUAACUACGUG